AUGACGUCACAGGGAUUCCCUCCGCCGCCGCCGCCGCCGCCGCCGCCGCCGCCGCCGCCGCAGCGCGGCCGCGUAUUAAUAGAAACGGGACCGGCCGCGGUUCUAGAAACGGCCCGAACCCUCCGGGACAACCGGGACAACGGGGCCGGGACACCGGGAAUGGACCGGGACACCCCGAACCCUCCGGGACAACCGGGACAACGGGGCCGGGACACCGGGAAUGGACCGGGACACCGGGAAUGGACCGGGACCCCCCGAACCCUCCGGGACAACCGGGACAAGCGGGGCCGGGACACCGGGAAUGGACCGGGACACCGGGAAUGGACCGGGACAACCGGGGCCGGGACUCCCGGGAAUGGACCGGGACACCGGGAACGGAACCCCCGGGAAUGGACCGAGACAACCGGGGCCGGGACCCCCGGGGAAUGGACCGGGACACCGGGAACGGAACCCCCGGGAAUGGACCGGGACACUGGGAGUGGACCGGGACCCCUCGAACCCUCCGGGACAACCGGGACAACCGGGGCCGGGACUCCCGGGAAUGGACCGAGACAACCGGGAAUGGACCGGGACACCGGGAAUGGACCAGGACAACCGGGGCCGGGACUCCCGGGAAUGGACCGGGACACCGGGAACGGAACCCCCGGGAAUGGACCGGGACACCGGGAAUGGACCGGGUCACCGGGAAUGGACCGGGACAACCGGGGCCGGGACCCCCGGGAAUGGACCGGGACACCGGGAAUGGACCGGGACAACCGGGGCCGGGACCCCCGGGAAUGGACCGUGACAGCGGGAACGGGACCGGGACCCCCCGAACCCUCCGGGACACCGGGAACGGGACCCCGGAAAUGGACCGGGACACCGGGAACGGGACCCCCGGGAAUGGACCGGGACACCGGGAAUGGACCGGAACCCCCCGAACCCUCCGGGACAACCGGGGCCGGGACACCGGGAAUGGACCGGGACACCGGGAAUGGACCGGGGUCCCCCGAACCCUCCGGGACAACCGGGACAACCGGGGCCGGGACACCGGGAAUGGACCGGGACACCGGGAAUGGAUCGGGACCCCCCGAACCUUCCUGGACACCGGGAACGGGACCCUCGGGAAUGGACCGGGACACCGGGAAUGGAUCGGGACCCCCCGAACCUUCCUGGACACCGGGAACGGGACCCUCGGGAAUGGAUCGGGACACCCCGAACCCUCCGGGACAACCGGGGCCGGGACCCCCGGGAAUGGACCGGGACACCGGGAAUGGACCGGGGUCCCCCGAACACCGGGAAUGGACCCGGGACCCCGAGAAUGGACCGGGUUCCCCAGGAUACCGGGAACGGGACAAGGACCCCCGAAAACCCGGCCGGGUCCUCCGGUUCCCGGUCCCGGGAACCCCCCGAGAGCCCCGAGCCCCUCCCCCACACCGGUAA
rnacentral:lncRNA from 1 species